rnacentral:rRNA from 1 species
UACGUAGGGUGCGAGCGUUGUCCGGAAUUAUUGGGCGUAAAGGGCUCGUAGGCGGUUUGUCACGUCGGGAGUGAAAACUCGGGGCUUAACCCCGAGCCUGCUUCCGAUACGGGCAGACUAGAGGUAUGCAGGGGAGAACGGAAUUCCUGGUGUAGCGGUGAAAUGCGCAGAUAUCAGGAGGAACACCGGUGGCGAAGGCGGUUCUCUGGGCCUUACCUGACGCUCAGGCACGAAAGCUAGGGGAGCGAACAGG